UGUGUGUGUGUGUGUGUGUGUGUGGAGUUUAACCAUCAGGAGCUACUGCACUUCUACAAUCAGGUGAGUGAGUGUGUGUGUGUGUGUGUGUGGAGUUUAACCAUCAGGAGCUGCUGCACUUCUACAAUCAGGUGAGAGUGUGUGUGUGAGUGUGUGUGUGUGUGUGUGUGGAGUUUAACCAUCAGGAGCUGCUGCACUUCUACAAUCAGAUUGAAUUGAUUCAGACUCAGUUGGACUCUCUCACCUGAUUCGCCGCUCGUCUCUUCGUCCCAUGAUGCAUCUCUCAGCAGCCAUUGAUUGACAGCAUCAGUGUUUUUCUGCACUUUCUCUGUCAUCAGUCAUUAAUUAAUAAACUGUUUUAUAUGUUGUUUAUUCUGGAUUUGUAACUCAGAGCUGCAUGUGUUUCACUGUUAUAAAUGUGUUCAUGAAGAGCUGUAAUUCAUUUAAACAGUUCAUGACUGAUGAUGUUCAUUAAAGAUGAUUUUACACCGAUCUGUGAUGUUUCAUGCUGAA